CCCAGAUCGUUUACCGUGAAAAAAUUAGAGUGUUCAAAGCAGGCAGAUCCAAUUUUCUGCCACCGAAUACAUUAGCAUGGGAUAAUGGAAUAGGACCCUGUCCUCCUAUUUUCAGUUGGUUUUGGCAGCGCGAGGACUAGGGUAAUGAUUAAUAGGGAUAGUUGGGGGCAUUAAUAUUUAAUUGUCAGAGGUGAAAUUCUUGGAUUUAUGAAAGAUUAACUUCUGCGAAAGCAUCUGCCAAGGAUGUUUUCAUUAAUCAAGAACGAAAGUUAGGGGAUCGAAGACGAUCAGAUACCGUCGUAGUCUUAACCAUAAACGAUGCCGACCAGCGAUUAGGAGACGUUGAAUACAAAACACCACCAUCGGUGCGGUCGUCCUUGGCGUCUCGGUCCUUCACGGGGCCGGGGCGCGGGGGCGGCUUAGCCCGGUGGCACCGGUGAAUGACUCCCCUAGCAGCUUGUGA
rnacentral:rRNA from 1 species